rnacentral:rRNA from 1 species
CAGCCGCCGCGGUAAUACGUAGGUGGCAAGCGUUGUCCGGAAUGAUUGGGCGUAAAGCACGCGUAGGUGGUUUUUUAAGUCUGAUGUGAAAGCCCACGGCUCAACCAUGGAGGGUCAUUGGAAACUGGAAAACUUGAGUGCAGAAGAGGAAAGUGGAAUUCCAUGUGUAGCGGUGAAAUGCGCAGAGAUAUGGAGGAACACCAGUGGCGAAGGCGACUUUCUGGUCUGUAACUGACGCUGAGGAGCGAAAGCGUGGGGAGCAAACAGGAUUAGAUACCCCGGUAGUCCCUGUCUCUUAUAC